AUUGAACGCUGGCGGCAGGCUUAACACAUGCAAGUCGAGCGGGGUGAUGGUGCUUGCACUAUCACUUAGCGGCGGACGGGUGAGUAAUGCUUAGGAAUCUGCCUAUUAGUGGGGGACAACAUCUCGAAAGGGAUGCUAAUACCGCAUACGUCCUACGGGAGAAAGCAGGGGAUCACUUGUGACCUUGCGCUAAUAGAUGGACCUAAGUCGGAUUAGCUAGUUGGUGGGGUAAAGGCCUACCAAGGCGACGAUCUGUAGCGGGUCUGAGAGGAUGAUCCGCCACACUGGGACUGAGACACGGCCCAGACUCCUACGGGAGGCAGCAGUGGGGAAUAUUGGACAAUGGGGGGAACCCUGAUCCAGCCAUGCCGCGUGUGUGAAGAAGGCCUUAUGGUUGUAAAGCACUUUAAGCGAGGAGGAGGCUCUUUUGGUUAAUACCCAAGAUGAGUGGACGUUACUCGCAGAAUAAGCACCGGCUAACUCUGUGCCAGCCGCCGCGGUAA
rnacentral:rRNA from 1 species